AUAGGAGGUCCAGCCUGCCCAGUGACUACGGGUUCAACGGCCGCGGUAUUUUGACCGUGCAAAGGUAGCGCAAUCACUUGUCUCUUAAAUAGAGACCUGUAUGAAUGGCUAGACGAGGGCUUAACUGUCUCCCCCCUCCAGUCAGUGAAAUUGAUCUAUCCGUGCAGAAGCGGGUAUAAUUAUACAAGACGAGAAGACCCUUUGGAGCUUAAGGUACAAAAUUUAACCACGUUAAACGACUCCAUAGAAAGCAAGAACUUAAUGGUGAAUAAAAUUUUACCUUCGGUUGGGGCGACCACGGAGGAAAAAGAAGCCUCCGAGUGGACUGGGCUAAACCCUAAAGCCAAGAGAUACACCUAUAAGCCGCAGAACAUCUGACCAAUAAUGAUCCGACUGAAAAGCCGAUCAACGAACCAAGUUACCCUAGGGAUAACAGCGCAAUCCUCUCCCAGAGUCCAUAUCGACGAGGGGGUUUACGACCUCGAUGUUGGAUCAGGACAUCCUAAUGGUGCAGCCGCUAUUAAGGGUUCGUUUGUUCAACGAUUAAAGUCC
rnacentral:rRNA from 1 species